rnacentral:rRNA from 1 species
CGCGGCCUAUCAGCUUGUUGGUGGGGUAAUGGCUCACCAAGGCAUCGACGGGUAGCUGGUUUGAGAGAACGAUCAGCCACACUGGAACUGAGACACGGUCCAGACUCCUACGGGAGGCAGCAGUGGGGAAUCUUGCACAAUGGGCGCAAGCCUGAUGCAGCAACGCCGCGUGCGGGAAGAAGGCCCUAGGGUUGUAAACCGCUUUCAGGAGGGAAGAAAAUGACGGUACCUCCAGAAGAAGGUGCGGCCAACUACGUGCCAGCAGCCGCGGUGACACGUAGGCACCAAGCGUUAUCCGGAUUUAUUGGGCGUAAAGAGCUCGUAGGCGGUUUGGUAAGUCGGGUGUGAAAACUCUGGGCUCAACCCAGAGAGGCCACUCGAUACUGCUCGACUAGAGAAAGGUAGGGGCUAGCGGAAUUCCCGGUGUAGCGGUGAAAUGCGCAGAUAUCGGGAGGAACACCAGCGGCGAAGGCGCCGCUCUGGGCCGUAACUGACGCUGAGGAGCGAAAGCAUGGGUAGCAAACAGGAUUAGAUACCCUGGUAGUCCAUGCCGUAAACGUUGGGCACUAGGUGUGGGUCUCAACCAACGAGAUCCGCGCCGUCGCUAACGCAUUAAGUGCCCCGCCUGGGGAGUACGG